rnacentral:rRNA from 1 species
UUGAACGCUGGCGGCAUGCCUUACCCCUGCAAGUCGCACGGUAACGGGCCUUCGGGUGCCGACGAGUGGCGAACGGGUGAGUAAUACAUCGGAACGUGCCCGAUCGUGGGGGAUAACGAGGCGAAAGCUUUGCUAAUACCGCAUACGAUCUACGGAUGAAAGCAGGGGACCGCAAGGCCUUGCGCGGACGGAGCGGCCGAUGGCAGAUUAGGUAGUUGGUGGGAUAAAAGCUUACCAAGCCGACGAUCUGUAGCUGGUCUGAGAGGAUGAUCAGCCACACUGGGACUGAGACACGGCCCAGACUCCUACGGGAGGCAGCAGUGGGGAAUUUUGGACAAUGGGCGCAAGCCUGAUCCAGCCAUGCCGCGUGCAGGAUGAAGGCCUUCGGGUUGUAAACUGCUUUUGUACGGAACGAAAAGCCUUCUUUUAAUACAGGAGGGUCAUGACGGUACCGUAAGAAUAAGCACCGGCUAACUACGUG